ACUAUAUAUCCAAUCCUUGAUUGCCUUCCUGCCAAAUGAUAGUUACACAACAAAUACACAGAACAAAUACCAAGCGAACCCAUUAAUUUGAAGGUCAGAGGAAGCAUCAAUUGAGGAAUGGCUGAAAAAUUGUGCUAUAUUACUAUAAUGGAAUAUGAUUGAGCCAUAGGAAAUUAUGAAGGGUGAUUGCAAAGGAUCCUGGAUAGUGUGAAUUGACACAGAGCAAAAUGAGCAGAACCAGAAAAAUAAUUUAUUCAAAAACAAGAACGUUGUAAAAAACAACAACACAACUUUGAAGAACUUAAGAACUCUGAUGAUGCAAUAAUUAACCAUGUGUCCAGAGAACCUCCUUCUGACUGAGAGGUGAUGGGUUCCAAGAUGCACGAAAAGACAUUUUUGGAUGAGGUCACUGAGUGGAUUUCUUUUGCUUGACAAGUCUUAUUUGUAAAAGGUCAUAGCAGCUCUCUUGGAAACAAGCUCCUUCGUUUCUCCAGACCACAGCAGGCCCUUCCCAAUCAGGACAGGCACAGAUUCCCCUAACAGACUACAGCAGGCCAAUCAGGACAGGCACAGAUAACUCUGGUAAGUAUAUCCUUUAAAAAUACACCCCACCUCCCAACCCCUACAUAUCGUCU
rnacentral:lncRNA from 1 species